ensembl:lncRNA
CGCCCAUUAAAUUUAGAAUAAUUUAAAAAAAUUCUUCUUCUGACCUACAAGGUCCUUAGAGGCCUAGCUCCAUCCUACCUGGACGAGCUAAACAUGAUCUCCUGACAGGCCUCCGUCACCCCACUGGGUCAUGGCCUCCUCUCCUCUCCUCUCCUCUCCUCUCCUCUCCUCUCCUCUCCUCUCCUCUCCUCUCCUCUCCUCUCCUCUCCUCUCCUCUCUUUCCUUGCCACUGUUGCUUGUUGGGGGUCAGGCCCUGGGAUUCUGUAAAGUGCCUAGAAACAAUUUUGAUUGCAACAGCCCCUAUAUAAAUAAAGAUUGAUUGAUUGAUUGAUUGAUUGAUUGAUUGAUUGAUUGAUUGAUUGAUUGGUAUGACUUCACUCUAUUUACACAAAUUGAACUGAACUUUUGUGAGUCUGUUUGCUAACCUCCCCUGUUUCUUUUGUUUCUUGGUAAACUUAAAAAAAAUACUAAAAUGGAAGAAAGCAUGUGUUUCGAUGGAUAUCUGUAUUGGAAAUGUGUUUUAAUUCAAUUUAGCUGAAUGGUCUCCUUACAAAUUCAUUACAAAUUAUGAGUAAGGUCUAAGAUAAUAAUGACGUGCUUAUAGGUGCAUACCUAAAGUCUUACCCGGGCAGGUUGGUCCCGUGUUUCCUGUCUCUCUUCGUUUUUAUGAACUGCUGUGUCAGGUCUUCCUUGGACAGAGAGGGAUGAACCAGCACUUGCUAAUCCCUUUGCCCUGGGGGCAGACCGCAGAGUUGCACAGUAGUCAGACUCUUCCAGAACCUCUGACAGAUAUAAAUGAUGGACUAUGAUCGCACCGGUUUCCUGGAUGGUUUGGACAUGAUGCAGCUGCUCUCGGAUUAUAAUUCCCAUAAUGCACCUGGAACACAGGCUAAUGAAGAGGAUGUUAGCAACAAUGAUGCAUCUCAAAAAGAGGAGGCUGUGAAAGACACCAGUCCUGAUGAAAUAAACAAAGGAGCACAAGAGCAGAAGGAAGAGAAUGCCAAUGACAUACACUCUCAAGGCAACAAGCAAAUUCAGCAGGAAAUAACGAUCGGUGAAGAGAUGGAUGCACCAGGAUGCAUAUGAACAGCAGGCGUAACAAGUGCCACUAACAAAACUGGAGCUGGACUGGGAGGUUACUGUUCAUCAGUGACAAUCACAGCUAUAAACACGUGCUGGUUUAUUCUACACUCGGUCUUCAAGUGUGGUUUAAUAUGGUGACAAAGAUGCACUUAUUUAACUAGUAAACGUCUGUCAAUUUUUAGUACUUGACCUGAAAAGUUCUGAGUUUUAAACGCAGCAUGAUCCAUAAACCUGAAGAGGUUCAGAGGUGUUAAACUAUUGUGUUUAAACAUUUUUUUUAGGAAUAUUUCAAAUUGGGAUCCAGAGAUAUAAGUACAUUAUUUGCUCACCUGUUCUCUAUUAGACAGACUACUUUCUAAGUGUUUAAGAAAGAAACAAUUAUAAAUCACAAUUGUUCUAGAAAAAGCACAUUUGGGGUGCUGAUUAGGUGUUGUUUUAAAUAAAGUCCCACAUUAUUUGCUCACCUGUACUCAUAUGUGAUUGGUGUAACUGGUUUAAUUUGAGGAUUUUCUCAGCCUAAAUAAUGUCCACAAUAGUUGAUACUUGAAAUUCUUUUCAAGAUGUCCAUUAUAAUGAGAAUUUCAGUGCUACAUACCAUGAAACCAGUCCAAU